rnacentral:tRNA from 1 species
GAGGGUAUAGCUCAGUGGUAUAGCAUGUGCUUAGCAUGCACAAGGUCCUGGCUUCAAUCCUAAGCACCUCCA